UUAUAGGCAAGAUUAUUACAUAUUUAUGCUAAUACUAGGAAAUUGACAUUAGGAAACUAAUAAGAUCUAGUCUAUUUAAAAAUCCUAUUCUAAUCAAUAAAGAAACUAUAUUCCUAAUUAAAUAGAGGAUAAAAAUCCUAUCACAACUAUACUUAGAAAAGAUACACACAACGAGAAAAAGUUAUAAAUAAAAACAAGUUUCCUAGUGGGAAAUAACAUUCUUUCCUUUCCUAAUAGAUUUUGGACUUUCUUUUGAUAUUGUCCUGCAUUAGUUUUAUAUAGCCAAAAUAGGUAUCAUAUCACCGAAAUAGAUAAAUGCAUCCAUGGUAAGAGAAUACUCAUUGGAAAAUAGAGAUUGACUUCAAUAACUGAUUAUAACUUCCCAAGGAUGAUGUUUUGGGAUGCCCGUACUGAACCUCCAUCUUCGAUGAUUAUAGAAGUAACGGACCUACAUUUUCAUUUUUGUCACAAAUUAUGGAUAUCAUUUGACUGCUAUGCAUGAGUAGUCCUCUCAAGUGAAUUUGAGAUAUUAUUUUGUUCUCAGGUGUUGUUGGUUUUGUCAAAUUUAUUCAAUAAGACUCAAUACCUCUAUAUGAGAGCUUCUCUCAUUGUAUAAGAAAUGUGAUCCAUUUAGGGUACAUUUUUAUAUGGAUAAAAAUAAUUAUUGUUCUGUAGACAGGUAGCCAUUCCAUGUAUGUGGGAAUCAAGCAUCGUAAGAAUGGGUUGGAUGAGCUAAACGCCCCAUAACAAGGACAGUGAACCCUCCUAUCAGCCUCAAAGAAAGAUGAAUAAGCAAACAAGAAAACAAAAGCAAGAACACCAUUAUGACAUAGGCAAUAGUUAACGGGACAUAAUGACCUUAUAAGGUCAGAAUGACUAUGGCAGCAACAAUUUGGAGCAAAUAAUACAAGCUUUCUUUAAUAAACACAUCAAAGCUUUGCUCAAUAUUUUCACUAACAAAAAAAUCAUUUUUUAAAGAAAAAAUGUAAUAUGAAACUUAUUAAAAAUACAUGGUAUUCGUUCACAUCCUUUUUCCGAGAGAGGGAGAGAGAUAAGAGGCACGUUUUUGUUGGUUUGGGAGGUGAAACCAUAAGAAAGCCGUACAAUUUUAUUUCUUCUGCAAUGCCUUCUCAGAGCCAAUUUUGUCAAAUGUGUGAAGAUUCAUAAUACUGCAACUCAAGUAGCUAUGGACAAAGCUUAGUGUACUUGUGACUAACAAAGAUAUUACAAGUAAAUUACAUGUUAGCAAAAUGUAGGAAUCAAACACCGAACAAAAUUACUUAUUAGCGAAGAGGAGACGAAAAUUCAGUAUGCAUGUGUGGAGUAUUGGGUCAAUCUGAUUAUAUAUGAGAGAAUAAAGCUACUUUAAUAUUCAUUUUGCACAUCUUUGUUGACCUUCCAUGAUAUGUAAAAAAAUUUAGAUAUUGAUUUGAGCAAGUAUUAUUCAAAAUACGAAAACUGUUGACCUAAUGGUUGACUUCUUGUUUUGAUUAUUACAAAUAAAUUGUGUUUGAUUCUAACAAAUUGAAUUUAAGUGAUUGAUAGUGAUUAUUGUAAAUUUAUGACACGAAAGAUUUAGAUUGGGAAUCAUGCAACCUUGGCGCAAAACGAUAUACACACAAGAUUUACGAACAAGGAAAUGGAAAAUGAGCUUUCAAGCACCAAAUUGCAUUGGAUGAAGAAAUUGAAGACAUUAGUUCUAGAUGCAUUUGUAUACUCAAGUGUAAAGGUAAAACUCUUUAACAUUUCACAUCGAUUAUAGCUCAAACAAUUUUUAUGCACGGAAAUUAUCAUAACAAACUUUACUUGCAUAAAAAUCAUUUUCAAAAGAUAAGUAAUUUGAUUUUCACAAUUAAACAUUUAUGAAAUUACUUAUCUAUAUGAAAUAUAUAAGGAAACCGUUCAAAUACCUUAAAGGAAUUUUUCACGAAAAAGGAAAAUUUGAUGGGAAAAUAAAAGGCUCACCCGGACGUCCGGAUGAGAUGUCCAACGGUCACAUUUUUUAACCGUUUGGCAAACACCUAGUUAAUCGUCCGGAUAACAAGCGAACGUCCGAAUCGCUUGUCCGGAUCUCCUGAUUGAUGGCUAUAAAUACCUCUCUUUAUACCUCUUUUAAGGCGAGUUUUUUACAACAUUAAAGAAAGUUAUUUAUUGAUCUUGUCUACCUUGUUUUUCAAUCUUUAAGAGAUCAAAUUAUUUAUUUGUUGAAAAACUUUUUGAGUGGGUAACUUUUUGAAAAAUCAUAUAUCUCAAUAAAAGUUUUUUCCACAACACUUGAGCUAUAUUCUUUAUGAUUUAUUGAAGUGAUUGUGCCUAAUUCUCUCUCAAUAUUUAGUUGUGUUCAUACCAUUUGUUAAGAGAGAAACAUUUCAAUUCUAACUUUGAUUUUCUUGUGGGUCGAGUUAAGGUCCCAGAAAGCUCAACGUAUAAAAGGAUCGGUGCUCCUUAAUUACAAGUCAUCGGAAGCAUUGUAAGGGUUGGAUUGCACCAUAAGUCAAUCAAAGAUAGUGAAAAAGGUCUUGCUCGUGACGGAGAGUUUGGUAACGGGGGACGUAGAUCGUGAUUGGAUCGAACCUCCUUAUUACAUCGUUUGCAGUCCCCUUUCCCUUCCUCUUAUUAUUUUUGUGUUGUCUUGUUUAUUCAUAAUUAUUUGCUUAAAUUUGCGUUUAUUUUAGAAAAAGUUUCAAAUAACCAAUUCACCCCCCCUCUCUUGGUUAGUUAUUAUUGGGCUUUCAAUUGACAGAGCUUGAUACUCUCUUUUUUUUUUUUAUUCUACAAUUUAAGUUAUGGUUAACCAAGUUUUUCAAAAUAGUGAGGGGCACUCUACAAAACGGCCUCCUUUCUUUAAUGGUACACAUUAUAAUUAUUGGAAAGCUAGGAUGAUGAUUUAUGUUCAAUCUAUGGAUUACAAUAUUUGGGAAGUUAUAGAAUAUGGUCCAUAUGCUCCUAAUAAAACUAUUAAAGUAGAUGGUAGACCGGACCAAACUCUCCCCAAAUCUAGAGAAGAAUACGAUGAUGAAGAUAAGAGAAAACUAUCAUUACAUGCCAAGGCUAAAAAUCUACUUUAUUGUGCACUUGAUAGAAAUGAAUUUAAUCGAAUUAGUACAUGUGAUUCGGCAUAUGAUAUUUGGCAUGCUCUUGAAGUUACUCAUGUUGGCACAAAUAAAGUUAAGGAAACAAAGAUAAACAUGCUAGCUAAGGAAUUUGAAAAUUUCUUUAUGAAACAAAAUGAGCUUAUUGUUAACAUGAUUACUCGUUUUACCAAUAUUGUAAAUGUAUUAAAGGUUUUGAUCGUAAAUUUACGAACGGUGAACUUGUGAGUAAAAUGCUUAGGUCCUUAUAAGAGAAAUGGAAUCCACUGAGGAUGUUGAUUGAGAAUACUAAGGAUGUAAAUACAUAUCCUUUGGAGGAGCUAUACGGCACAUUAAUGACUUAUGAGCUAAACAAUGUCGAGGUUAAGGAGAAAACGAGAAAAAGCAAGGAGGAGUCAAAGGAGCCUCCUAAAAGACAAAUUGCGUUAAAAUCGACAAUUGAAGAAGGAACAUCAAAUGAAAAUAUGAACGAUGAAGAACUUGAUGAUUUGGUUCUUCUUGUCCAAAAAUGGAGAGAUUUUCGUAAUAAUCGAAGAUUUCAAAAGAAAGAAGAAAAAGUGGAAGAUAGGAACAAAAAGAUUGUUUGCUAUGAUUGUGAUAAGUCUGGUUACAAGAGAACUAAGUGUCCAAACAAAAAGAAAAAUCUCAAGAAAAAAGCACUCCAAGCUACAUGGGGUGAUAGCGACGACGAAAUACAAAAUGGGAAUGAUAAUCAAGAUGAAGUGGCAAAUAUGUGCUUCAUGGCAAUCGAAGACGAGGUAUGUUCUUAUGAUGAGCUUUCAAUUUCUUAUGAUGAAAUGCUUGAAAAUUUUGAAAAACUUGCUUUAAAUCACGCUGUUCUUAAAAAGAAAAACUUUAUUUUGAAUGAAGAAAUUAAGAAAAUCUCCGAAAAGCAAAAAGUGAGUUUUGAUCAGACCUUUUGAUAAAAGAAAACAUCUUUUUAAAAGAAAAGGUUAAUGAUUUAAUACAAAUUAUCCAUAAGUUUACCAAAAGUAAGAAAAAUUUUGAUUUAAUGCUCGGUAGUCAAAAGUGUGUUUUUGGUAAAGGAGGAAUUAGAUAUAAACCCUCUCUAAAACAAAAAUCACUCAAAAAUAUGUUUGUUAAGACUUCAAAUAUUUCAUGUAGCUUUUGUAAUAAAAAUGGACAUAUUGCUUUUAAUUGUGUAACUAAAAAGAAAUUAUUCUUUGAGAACAAAUACAAGUGGAUACAAGAAUCCACAAAACUAACUAUCAACGACCCAAAUUUGUGUGGGUACUAAUAUUCAAAACUUAAUUUGUCUUUGUAGGUACCAAAGAAAAUGAAAAGUAAAUGGUUCUUGGAUAGUGAAUGCUCGAAGCAUAUGACCGGUGAACGAUCAUUAUUUUCAAAUUUUUAAGAGAAUGAUGGAGGUCAUGUGACCUUUGGAGAUAAUGCCAAAGGUAAAAUAAUCGGCAUUGGAAACAUUGGUAACCACUCAUCCCCCUCUAUCGAAAAUGUUUUACUCGUUGAUAAUCUUAAACAUAAUUUGUUAAGCAUUAGUCAAUUAUGUGACAAAGGUUAUAACAUAAAAUUCGAUUCUUCCAAAUACCUUAUGAAGGAUGCUACAUCAAAAGAUGUAAUUUUUAUAGGAAGCCGAAGUAAAGAUGUUUAUAUUAUAAACAUUGAAUUGGAAAAUAACGAAAAAUAUUUAUUUAGCUUGAAAGAAGAAUCAUGGUUAUGGCAUAGAAGACUUGGACAUGUAAACAUGGAUCUUCUUUCAAAAAUUUAUAAAAAUUGUUUUGUAAAAGGUUUACCGAAUUUGAAAUUUGAAAAAGAUAAAAUUUGUGAUACUUGUCAAUUUGGAAAACAAGUAAAAAGCUCUUUCAAACCAAAACUUUAUACUUCAACCACAAAACCAUUACAACUUCUCCAUAUGGAUCUUUUUGGCCCGUCUAGGACGGCUAGCUUAGGAGGUAAACAUUAUACUUUUAUUAUUGUGGACGAUUUUUCAAGAUUUACUUGGGUUAUAUUUUUAAACUUAAAAGGAGAAGCCUUGAAAACUUUUAAACAUUUUUGUAAGAAAGUUGAAAAUGGAAAAGACUACUCUAUUACAACUAUUAGAAGUGACCAUGAUGAAGAAUUUGAUAAUGUUGGGUUUGAUGAUUUUUGUAAAGAACAUGGAUAUGAACGGCUCAUAGAACACUUCAACAAAAUGGUGUAGUAGAAAGGAAGAAUCGUACAUUACAAGAAAUGGCUCAAACUAUGUUAAAUGAAAAUAACUUGCCUAAAUAUUUUUGAGCCGAAGCUGUUAAUACCGCUUGAUACAUUAUCAAUAGAGUAUUAAUAAGCAAAAGGAAAACUAAAACUCUUUACGAACUUUAGAAAAACAAAAUUCCAAAUAUUAGUUAUUUCAACGUUUUUGGAUGUAAAUAUUUUAUUUUAAAUACAAAAGAUAAUUUGGGGAAAUUCGACUCCAAAUCCGAUAUAGAAAUUUUCUUUGGAUAUUCAUCGACUAGCAAAGCAUAUAGAGUUUUUAACAAACGAACUCUAGUUGUUGAAGAAUCCAUGCAUGUUGCCUUUGAUGAAACUAACUCAUUUGAUCGGGAGAAAGGUAGUGAUGACGAUGUAGGUUUGGAAGCUCCUUUCGAACAAAUGAACAUUCAAGACCAAAAUAAGGAGACUCCAAAUGAUCCAAUGCUCAAGAAAAUAAAGCAAGACAACCCGGAGAACAAAAUGAUCCCUCAUUACCAAAAGAAUGGAGGUUUGUUCCAGCUCAUCCCAAAGAGCUAAUAAUUGGCGAUCCAUCAAAAGAUAUCACCACUAGAACCUCUUACAAAAAUCAUUUUGGUAGUUGUGCAUUUAUUUCUCAAAUCGAAUCUAAGAAUUUCAAAGAAGAUGAGUUUGAUGAGUUAUGGAUUCUAGUAAUGCAAGAAGAAUUAAAUCAAUUUAAAAGAAACCAUGUUUGGGACUUAGUCGCUAGACCAAACAAUCAAACCGUUAUUGGAACAAAAUUGAUUUUUAUAAAUAAAAGAGAUGAAAAUGGAAUAAUUGUGCAUAAGAAGGCUAGAUUAGUGGCCCAAUGUUACAAUCAAGAAGAAGGUAUCGAUUUUGAAGAAAUAUUUACACCAGUAGCAAGAUUAGAAUCCAUCUGUAUGCUUCUUGCAUUUGCAUUAUUACAAAGAUUUUAGACUUUAUCAAAUGGAUGUUAAAAGUGCUUUUUUAAAUGGCUUCAUUCAAGAAGAUGUUUUCGUUGAGCAGCCUCCUGGUUUUAAAGAUCACAAGUAUCCGGAUCAUGUAUUUAAAUUUCAAAAAGCUCUUUACGGGUUGAAACAAGCUCCUAGAGUUUAGUACGAACGGUUGAACAAAUUUCUUCUCUCAAAUGAUUUUUCGAUUGGAAAAGCGGAUACUACACUUUUUAUAAAAACUCAUAAAAAUGAUAUGCUCAUUGUUCAAAUUUAUAUUGACGAUAUUAUUUUUUGUGCUACAAAUAUACAUCUUUGUGAAGAAUUUUUCAAAAUGUAUGAGUAAUGAAUUUGAAAUGAGCAUGAUGGGUGAGUUAAAAAAAUUUCUUGGCCUUCAAAUUAAACAAAUGAAAGAAUGAAUUUUCAUAAAUCAAAAUAAAUACAUAUUAGACAUACUUAAAAAAUUUGACAUGCAUGACAACAAGCCUAUGAACACACCAAUGAGCACAUCUCUAAAACUUGAUAAGGAUGAGCGAAGUACUUCUAUGGACGUCACAAAAUAUUGAGGUAUGAUCGGAUCCCUUCUAUAUUUAACUGCCAGUAGACCCGAUAUUAUGUUUAGUGUUUGCCUAUGUGCUCGCUUUCAAUCUAAUCCUAAGAAUCAUGCUUAAAGGCCGUAAAACGAAUUUUUCGUUAUCUAAGUGGUAUGAGUACUUUAGGACUUUAAUAUCCAAAAGGCACUCAUAUUGACUUAAUUAAUUAUUCGGAUGCCGAUUGGGACAGAUUUAAUGUUGAUCGUAAAAGCACAAGUGGAAACUGUCACUUUCUAGGCUUUGCACUUGUAUCUUGGUCUAGUAAGAAACAAAAUUCCAUUGCACUAUCCACCGCCGAGGCUGAAUAUAUCUCGGCCGCUAGUUGUUGUGCAAAAACACGUUGGAUGAAACAAACUCUAUGUGAUUAUCAUUUGUCUUACGUUCAUUUGCAUAUUCUAUGUGAUAAUACCAGUGCCAUAAAUUUGUCUAAAAAUCUCGUCUUGCAUUCACGAACUAAGCAUAUUGAGAUUCGACAUCAUUUUCUUCGUGAUCAUGUACAAAAAGGAGAUAUUAUAUUAGAAUUUAUAAAAAUCAAUUAUCAGUUGACCGAUAUCUUUACCAAACCUCUAGCAUAUGAACGUUUUUCAAUUAUUCGAAGAGGAUUGGGGAUUAUUGAUGAAAAUGAAGUAAACUUAGUUUAAGUUUCUUUCACUUAAGUUUUUUUUAAUUAUUUAUUAAUUUAAAAAAUUCAUCUGAACAAGCAAAAGUUGUCCAGACUAUACUGUCCGGAUUGGCAGAAACUGAAGGUUGCUGUCAUCCGGACCGUCGGUACAGUUUUUUUUAAAACACGGAUUCAUCCCUUUUUCAUCCAUUUCUUCAUCUUCCUCGCCCAAAAUAUCUAUGCAAAUUCACACACAAGCAGUUUCUUUGGUUGAAUCUUGUUCAUUUCACCUAUUAAUCGAAAAACCCGACCGAUUUACACCAUUUUUCACCCAAAAAUCGAAAAUAUAUCUUCCAAAAUCGGGUUUGAAUCUCAGCUCGAUUUCUUCUUCAAUCUUAGAAAUUUUCGUGCAAAUCCCACAUAAUAGCUCAAGCAUUUCAUACAGCAUUACUUUCCUCCUCUAAUAGCUUGAUUUUUCAGCAAAAUCAUCACUUUUGAGCGUGCCCUAGAAAUCACCCAAUUGGGAUUUUGUGAUUUUUUUAAAUUGUGGAAAUCUCACCCAUUUUUCUACUAUGUCGGGUUCUAGUCGUGGAAAACGGGGAAGAAAAAUUGUGCAAUGACCCCCUUCACCAUCGGAUGAGGAGAUGGAUUUGGAGCCGGAGGAGCCAUCCAACCCUUUUGAAAAAUCACUCAUUUUAAUCGGUAAGAAUGUUGAUUUUAUGGAUUUUACAAUUGAAGCUCCCGCUUUUCAUAUUGAAGAAUAUUUUGAACGUAUGGGAUGGAUAACCGUGCCCACGAUGGAAGAACGCGCUUAUCCACACCUUAUGAAAGAAUUUUAUCAAAACAUAAAUUUUAUGACACGUUCAAACGAAAUCCCUUGCUUUGUUAAAAACGUUCGCUUUACAAUUUCAAAAGCGUUAAUUCGUCAACUACUUAAUCUCGAGCCUUGUAACUUAGAAGUGUUUUUACAUAAGUCUCCACCAACCAUAGAAGGAUACGAUCCUUCUGAGGCAUGUCGUCGUGUUACGGGGAAAGACUUAGAAAAACAUCACAAAAAUUAGUGCACAUCAAUUAACACUUCCAUGCAAGGUGUUGCAAAAUAUCAUUGCUCACAUUAUUUUUCCCCGCAAAGGUCAUCGAGAUGAAGUCGAUCACUUCGAUCUCUUUAUUUUGGAUUCUCUACUAGUCAGACGUAAAAUUGAUUUUCCUACUAUUGCACUUGGCCUUAUGAAGCUUGUGCAUGCAUCACGACACACCAAAGCUUUACAUUCGGGAUGUUUCUCACAAAAUUUUUUAAGCAUUUUAAUGUUUCAUUGGACGGUGAAGAUUUUAUAAAAUUACGCCCUACCGAUACUAUUAACAUUCAGACCUUAAAACGGAUGAAAAUGGUAAAGGAACAUGGGCAAUGGGUGGCUCAUACGAAAGGGUGCAAUCCUACCUUCGGUCCAUCCACUCUCCCAUUUGAAGAGGAAGCUGAAUCAGAUGAAAAAGUACCUAAAGUUCCUGCUCCCGCAUCUGACAUUCCAGGCUCGAGUGUGCCUCCUCCUUCCCGAGAGCGUUCCACAUUUACCGAGGAGCAAUAUAAUCUCCUCCAUGGGUAGAUUGAUUCUCUUACUUCAUCGGUCGAUGACAUGGGUAGCCUACUUCUCCAGAUGCAGGCUCAGCAGAUAUCUAUCCAGGACCGAUAGCUCAAGAUGCAGCAGUGACAAGCUAAGAUGCAGGCUCAGCAAACUGCAUUUUUCACUGAGUUUUAUGCUAGAUUUCCUCCUCCGACCCCUUAGCUUACUUUCUUGCGUACUAUUAUUCUCAUGUUAUUUAUUAUCUGUUGCUCUUUUAUAUUUUGGAUGGUUGACUUCUUAAGUGAUAUUUUUAUGCUAUUCGACCUAUUACAUCUUUUUGCUUAUGCCAAAGGGGGAAGAUGAGCAGAUGAUUAUGCAACAUAAGAACAACAUAGUAAGGGGGGAAUGUUAUUAAAUGUUAUUUGCAUGUUGAUAAGGGAAAUGUUAUUAAAUGUUAUAUGCAUGUCGAUAGGAGGAAUAUUACUUGCAAUAUACAAAAUUAUGCUCCUGAUUAUUUGAUGCCAAUUCAAUUUGUUCAAUAUUUAUUUUGCAAAAAUCAUCUCGUUUGUCAUAAUCAGAAAGGGGAAAAUUGUUGACCUAAUGGUUCACUUCUUGUUUUGAUUAUUACAAACAAAUUGCGUUUGAUUCUAACAAAUUGAAUUUAAGUGAUUGAUAGUGAUUAUUGCAAAUUUAUGACACGAAAGAUUUAGAUCGGGAAUCAUGCAACCUUGGCGCAAAACGAUAUACACACAAGAUUUACGAACAAGGAAAUGGAAAACGAGCUUUCACACACCAAAUUACAUUGGAUGAAGAAAUUGAAGACAUUAGCUAUAGAUGCAUUUGUAUACUCAAGUGUAAAGGUAAAACUCUUUAACAUUUCACAUCGAUUAUAGCUCAAACAAUUUUUAUGCACGGAAAUUAUCAUUAGAAACUUUACUUGCAUAAAAAUCAUUUUCAAAAGAUAAGUAAUUUGAUUUUCACAAUUAAACCUUUAUGAAAUUACUUAUCUAUAUGAAGUAUAUAAGGAAACCGUUCAAAUACCUUAAAGGAAUUUUUCACGAAAAGGGAAAAUUUGAUGGGAAAAUAAAAGGCCCAUCAGGACAUCCGGAUGGGGUCUUCCGAACGUCCGGAUGAGAUGUCCAAUGGUCACAUUUUUUAACCAUUUGGCAAACGACUAGUUAAUCAUCCGGAUAACAAGCGAACGUCCGAAUCGCUUGUCCGGAUCUCCUGAUUGAUGGCUAUAAAUACCUCUCUUUAUACCUCUUUUAAGGCAAGCUUUUUACAACAUUAAACAAAGUUAUUUAUUGAUCUUGUCUACCUUGUUUUUCAAUCUUUAAGAGAUCAAAAUAUUUAUUUGUUGAAAAACUUUUUGAGUGGGUAACUUUUUGAAAAAUCAUAUAUCUCAAUAAAAGUUUUUCACACAACACUUGAGCUAUAUUCUUUGUGAUUUAUUGAAGUUAUUGUGCCUAAUUCUCUCUUAAUAUUUAGUUGUGUUCAUACCAUUUGUUAAGAGAGAAACCUUUCAAUCGUAACUUUGAUUUUCUUGUAGGUCGAGUUGAGGUCUCGGAAAGCUCAACGUGUAAAAGGAUCAGUAUUCCUUAGUUACAAGUCACCGGAAGCAUUGUAAGGGUUGGAUUGCAUCAUAAGUCAAUCAAAGAUAGUGAAAAGGGCCUUGCUCGUGACGGAGAGCUUGGUAACGGGGGACGUAGAUCGUGAUUGGAUCGAACCUCCUUAUUACAUCGUUUGCACUCCCCUUUCCAUUCCUCUUAUUAUUUUUGUGUUGUCUUGUUUAUUCAUAGUUAUUUGCUUAAUUUUGCGUUUAUUUUAGAAAAAGUUUCAAAUAACCAAUUCACCCCCCUCUUGGUUAGUUAUUCUUGGGAUUUCAAAAACAUCAUCGUUUAACCUAUUCAAUGGGCUAACUAAUGCUGGACCAGCCCAUAAUCAAUAAUUCAAAAUUGUCAAAAGGUAAUUGGAAAUAAUACAUAAUUUCUACGUAUAAAUAUCACAUUUCAAAACUAACAAACUUCCUAAAUAUUUCAUAAAUCAAGGGGUAAAUCAAAUCAUUAAAUAUAUAAUUAUAUAAAUCAAGGGGUAAAUCAUUUUAUAUAUAUAUAUAUAUAUAUAUAUAUCAAUUAGCAUACUAUGCCAUUGUUUGAUUCCCAUUUUGAGUAAACUAAUGCAUUUUGAAUAGUAGAUUGAUGAAGAAUGUGUGGUUAAAAAUUAAAGAAAAGUUUUGAAUUUAUGUAUAAUAUUAUUUUAUUGAAAAAUGUGUAGUUGAAAAUGAAUUUUGAAAAAAUGAAAUUUUAGAAGAACGAGAAUCAAACAAGAGCUAUAUCAAUUAACACAUAGAUAUUUUAAUCCCCACCAAUGGACCCCAUCCCAAUCCUACCCCAGUUCAUUCGAUCAGUGGAUCAUAACUCAUCCUACCUCACUGUAGAAAACUCCAAAAAAUUAAAAGUGUUCUUUCUACAUCUCUUUCUCUACACAUUUACAGAUAAAAAUAAAUUUACAGGUGGUGGUGGUAGUGGUGAGGUGGCACUAUAGAAAAUAGAUAUGUAUGAUGGUGCAUUGCAGGUGAUAAAAAAGUGCAUCAUCAGAGUUGAUUUUUUUAUUGGUGGUAGUGGGGGUGGUGAUGUGGUAACAACAUUUUGAGUACUGUGUGAUGGCUGUGAUGUUACAUUGCAGCUGGCGAGAUUUGUGACUAACUAUAUUAUAUGUGAUCAGAUUUAUUGUUUCAUUGUGAACGUACAUAUUUUAUCUGUAGCUAACUGUUACCAGACUGUCUAUGAUCAAAUCAGUCUAAUCUAUAACUGUAUGCAAUUAAGUUACUAACAUGUACUAUCUGUGACUAAUUGUGACCAAAUCAUCCAAUCACAAUAAACACAUACGUGAUCACAAUGGGUCACCACAAACAAAUUUAUACGCGACAAAGACCACCACUACAAUCAACGAUCACUCACACCACCAUCACUCCAAUGCACUGCCACUAUCACCUUCAACUCAAGUUUAUUUUCAUUGUGAAUAUCUAUGACCAAGUUUACAUACAAUCACGGUUAAGACAAACCUAGUCAUAACCAAUCACAAUGAAGACAAACUUAAUCACAAUCCGUCACGAUUAGCACAAACUAGUGAGGGUUAUCACAAAUAAAUUCGCAUACACUACAUAUUAACACCACAACCCAUUACCUUUACAACCAAACCAGCAAACCAAAUAGGCCUAAAGUACAACCAGUAUCUGGGUCCAUAGAUUGAACAAGAAAUUCCUUGAUCUCCGAUCUACCACCAUCUAUACCUCAAUCCAUAACCACCAUCAUCACCACCUGUAAUGCACCACCACUCGCAACCCACAAUCACCACAACCCACCAUCAUCAAAACCUAUGACAUACCACCAUUGUUAGCUUCUGCAAUGCACCAUGCCACAAACAUCGAUAGCUACAAGUUUUCACAAAAUCUCCCAUUGUCCCCGGUACCAUAGAGAGAUGGACUAGAAAAAAGGGCUACAUUAAAUCCCCACUCUAGCAACUAUGUAUUGACACCAUUGCACCCACACUAGCAUCUCACACCACCACCUCCAUGGCUCUACCUCUACCUGUAACUCUAACCUUAUCACAUUUGGAAAGGACAAUAGGAAGAAGAUGGUCGUCGGAGGAAGACGAUAGUCGAAAGAAGAUGACGACCGAAUCUAUAGAGAUGUAAAAUACUGUGACAUGGGGAGAGAGAGAGAGAGAGAUUUUGAAGGAGAAGAAUUGAAAGAAAGGGAAAGAAUACACAUAUGAAAUGAAGUUAUUUACUUUUGGGUGGGUGCAGGUGUAGGGUCAGCUGCUAGGGAGAGAGCAUUUAAUGAAUAGAAAUGCAAUCAAUGGAAAAUGUUAAUAUAAUAUAGUACCUGAUUUUUUAAUAGAAGUUUUAAUAAUCUGAUUUUUAAUAAUGGAAUGUUAAAUUCAUGUUUUCGUCUAAUUUUUCCAACUUAAUUUUCAUUUUUGAAAAAAGGAAAGUAUAUAUUUAUAGUAGAGGUAAACACGGUUCGUUUUGAAUGGUUUGCGACAAAUUUUCAAACUAAACCACUUAAAACUGUUUGAAAUUUUUUUCUAAUCAAACUAAACUACUUCAAUUUCUGAACCAAAUCAAUCUAAACCAAUUUAUUGAUUUAGUUCGAUUGAAAACCAUAGUUUAGGCUUUAUAAAAAAAAAAAAAAAAAAAAAACCUAUAUUGAAUGAGUUAAAUCAUAAAUAUUAAUCUAAAUUUCAUGUUAAAAAUAUAAAUAAUAUCAUUAAAAGUAUUACAACCAAAGUUUUAUAAUUCUAAUCAUCAUAAUGCAACAAUAUGACAUAAAUAUUUUGAACUCUUUGUCAACACUAAUUGGAGCAACAUCUGGAAUUGUAACACCUGAUUCAUUCUCCAGAAAAAUAAGAAUAUAGUACACGAUUUCAUUGAUUAUAAUUAAAUCAUACAAAAUUACUAAUAAAAGAAAAUGGAUAGAAAGAUCAAUUACGAAAGUGCCUUUUAUAAUAUUUUGUGAAUUAUUCAAUACUUCUACAUCAUCAAAAUAUUGACAAAUUAUUAUAUUUUUCUUUCUAUGCAACCAGUUUUUAAAGCAAACCGCUGUCUCAUCCAUAUUUUCACUCAAGAUAACUCCUAAAAGAAUUAAGAAUCUCGACCAAUAGGAAAUGCAAACUCAAAAAUAAUUUUAGAUAUUUGAAUAACUAACACGAAAACCUUGUACUUAUUUGCUUUCAAUUUUUGCUAAAGUAAUAUGUUUAAAGACUUGGUCCGAUUUUCAAAACAGCUAUUUAAAUAAGUCACCAAAUCAUUCUAGCAAUUAACAGGCAAAUUCAAAAAUAAAAAUAAAAAUGUAAAUAAUUAAUUGAGUGACCUGACCAAGAAAUUGAGACGCAAAUAAACUAAAAUUAACACAACUACCAAUAAAAUAUAGCAAAUAAUCAUAUAAAAAAGUAAGAAAAUUGAUAAACCGACCUUAAAAUUUAGUAUAAUAUAAAUGUUCUCAUAUGGAAAUUUGUUUGGCAAAUAUAAUCAUACACAUGUCUAACUAGCUAAAUGUGUUGUACGAUGUCAUAGUUCGUGAUUAUAAAUGUUUAAAGUUUGUAAUUAGAUUUAUACAUGGCGAUUUGAAGAAUCAAUAUUUCACUAUGGUUUGGUGGAUUUUAUAUAAAUAAAAGCAAUGAAAAUUGAGAAAUCUUAAUGGACAAUACAGUUGAAGAAGGAAACAAUAAUUUAUUCAAAAAUUAGAAGUGGACAAUGCAAGCUAUUGUAUUACAAUUAAUUGGAAGCUUUUUCUUACACCAUUUUGAAUCCUUUGGUAGCUUCCAUUAUAGAUGAAAAUUGUGGUCCAUAACAUAAUCUUACACCAUUUUGAAUCAUUUAUUAGCUUCCUUCAUCGUGAAAAUUGUGUAGCUUCCCAAAAUUUUUCACAAGGUGGUAGCUAUAUAAAAUUGUGCUAGCUUUUCGAAAUGAAUAUUGACCAGAAUAUUACAAAGAUAGUACACAUCAUUCUGUGAAUUGAUGAAAAGGAUAUGAAACCAAUUCACGAAUUUCAUCUUAUAUAAACCCUUAAAACUCCAACAUUAUUAGUGUAGUGAUAGUAAAUUUAACUUCUUAUUUUUUUACGAGCUCCUUUUCUUCAUUCUUAGACUGCUUUUUUGUUUGUUCUCUUCAAUUCUCUUGAAAAUUAGUGUUCCUAGGAAUGGCAUUGUCCGUCGAUACAAUUGGUUUUGAAAAGAGCUCGAAAUCUCAUUUUCUGAGACGAACAUCUUUGUUGAUCCUGAAGGGAAGGGUCUUCGAUCACUUUCCAAAGUACAAUUGGAAGAGAUUCUUGAACUUGCCAAGUACACCAUUAUUUCUUCACUUUCGAGUGAAUCUAUUGAUUCAUACGUCCUCUCUCAGUCGAGUCUCUUUGUUUAUCCUUAGAAGAUAAUCAUCAAAACCCUUAGGAUAAUGAAGUUGCUAUGAUCAAAUCUACCAGUACUGAAGUUGCCUAGCUCCCUCUCUUUUAUUACAAGUUGCAAGAUAUAAGUGUGGAAGCUUCAUUUUCCUUGGACCUCAGUUUUAUCCCCACUGUAACUUCUCAACAGAAGUCGCUGUCCUAAACAACUAUUUUGGAGAACUUGGUUCAAGCAGCAAAGCUUAUGUUAUGGGCAGUUCUGAGAAACAACAAAACCAGUGGGACAAUAAAGUUGCCAUGAUUGAAUCCACCAAUACUGAAGUUGGCUGGCACCCUAUCUCUUUUAUUGCGAGUUGUGAGACAUACUUGUGGAAGCUUUAUUUUCCCAGGAACCCAGUUUUAUCCCCAUUGUAACUUCUCGGAAGAAGUUUUUGUCUUAGAUAGCAAUUUUGGGAAAAUUGGUUCACGUAGAAAAGCUUAUGCUAUGGACAAUUCCGAGAAACAACAAAAAUGUUUUGACGAUUAUCUUGUAAAGAUAAACAAAGGCUCAGCUCAGAGAGUACGUAUGACUCGACAGAUUCAUUCGAAAGUGAAUAAACAAAGGUGCACUUAGCAGGUUCAAGAAUAUCUUCCAAUUGUGCGUUGAAAAGUGAUUGAAGACCAUUAUUUUCAGGAUCAAGAAAGUUACUCUUCUAAAAAAAAAAAAAAAAAAAAAAAUGAGAUUUCGACCCUCUUUUCAAAACCAAUUGCAGAGACAGACAAAGCCAUUUCUACGAACACGAAUUUUUAAGAGAAAUGAAGAGAACAAACAAGAAGUGUUCAAAGAAUAAAGAAAAGGGUCAUGCAAAAAAAAUAGAAAGUUAAAUCUACUAUCACAACACUAUUAAUGUUGAAAUUUAAGGGUGUAUAUAAGAUGAAAUGGAUUUCAUAUCCUUUUCAUCAAUUUACAGAAUGAUCUAAAUUACCUCAAUAAUAUUUCAAUCACAAUUUAUUUUGUGAGCAACCACAAUUUUACAUAGGAAAUGAUACUUGUGCUGUAAAAGCAUACAACCCUCUCACAAACUUUGCGGGCGGUCCUGUAUGUAAGAAUGCUAUCAACUAUGCUGUCGGAUGUGCUGUACCUGUAGCACUUCUCAUUUUACACAGCUACCACCAUGUAAAAUUUGGGAAGCUACCACAAUUCAUGACAAAGUAAGCUACCGAAGAAUUCAAAAUGGUGUAAGAUAUCUAAAAUUAUGAAUAUGCACCACAAUUUUCACUAGCAAUAGAAACUACCAAAGGAAUCAAAAUGGAGUAAGAAAAAAUCUUCCAAUUAAUUGUAAUACAACCGCCUACAUUGUCAAUUUUUGAAUAAAUUAUUGUUUCCUCCUUCAAUUAUAUUGUCCAUUAAAGUUGCUCAAUCUUCAUUGUUUAAAUUUUGUUUUGUAUAAAAUCCUCCAAGCCACAGUGAAAUAUUGAUUCUUCAAAUCACUAUACAUUAAUCUAAUUACAAACCAUCACAAGCCUUUUUCUAUCGCUUAACUUCAAAGGUAUUGGAGCCAUUUUCAAAUGUUACCCCGUAGCUCAUAAAGAACACUGGCUUGUUUGGAGGAUCCAAGCCCAAGCAAUCAAACUACAUCUCAUGUCAAAGUUCUUACACAACGCACAUUGUAAAUUUUCUACAACGUGAACGUUCAGCAUAGAUAGUUUGCCUAACAUCAGAAAUCAGUGCUUGUCUACUCUGAAAAAUCAUGUCAUAGUCCAUUUACUUUUCAAAUGUUACCCCAUAGCUCAUAAAGAACACUGGCUUGCUUGAAGGAUCCAAGCCCAAGCAAUCAAACUACAUCUCAUGUCAAGUUCUGACACAACGCACAUUGUAAAUUUACUACAACAUGAACCUUCAGCAUAAAUAGUUUGCCAAACAUUAAGUUAUUCUCAAAACCACCUAGGUUUCAAUAAUCACUGCUUGUUCUGAAAAAUGACGUCAUAGUGCAUCGGGUAAAUGAAAAAUUGCGUACCAAUAAAACAAACAGAAGUAAAGUGUGAACGAGGUGAGAACACGAACAGCCAUACAGAAAACAUGACACAGCACAUUGCCAAGUUUUGUGUGUACAUACAUGUGUGCGUGUGUGUGUGUAAGGAGAAAGGAUUACGUUAGGGUUUACUUUGGGUUAAUAUUUUUUGGGUAGAUGAUAAUAGUGAAAGAUAUUUAAUAAAGAGUAAGGGUACUAACCUUUAUAAGUCGAGAAAUUAACCGAAGUAACACUAAGGGUCAAAAGAAUGAGAGAUCUAUAAAAAUUUGACAGCCAGAUAAUAGAUAUAUUAUGCAUGUUUAUCAGCAUAUUGGUAGCGCUCACUCUUCCUUCAAUGAAGUCCUCAGUACCAAUAUAAGUCGAGGUCUAUCUGAGAGCGAAUCUUUGUAGAAUGGAAGGCUGCAAAUUAUGGAUUUAUUUAUAGCAAAGAAUCAACAUUUACUUACUAAAAUAACAUACUUCAAUAAUUGAUUGGUUUGUCACUGGAUUAAUUUACUUUUUCGAGAUUGUGGUGCCUUGCAAAAUUUCGAUCAUACUCCUGUUUGUUCUUGUCAAAGAAAUUGAGCAAUUUAACAAAUCAGAAAUGGCAUCGAGAAUAUAAAAUUUCUCAAAAAGACACUCAAGCCAAAUGAAUUAACUAAACAUUCAAGAGAACAUGUCCAUCAAUAAAAGAGUUAUUUUCAAGCACAGUGCAGUUCAAUGAGCAACAAAAGCCAACUGAAGUAGAAUUACAAGCUCAACCACAACAAAAUUAUCAUGUCCAAAUUUUCGGAUUAAAAGGACUAACAUAGCAUGGUAAGACGAUGAAGGGCAAUAAUUGUAGUUAUGUGCUUCUUCGAAAAAUCCAAUCUCUUAAUGUCACAACAUAUUUCUUAAACCAUUAUUUCACCUUGCUCUGCUUUGGAUUUAAUUUCUCAAAUUUUUAGUUGAGUACGAACAGUUUAAUAGGUAAGUAGAUGCCAAUGGUGGCAUUGAUAUUGACCUUCAUCCAAAUUUGCAUAUUUAAGCAAGCAAAGAAUCGAUUACUGAUUUUUGGCAAUAUAUUUAUAUCCGAAAGCAUAUUAUAAAAUUAGAAGAAGUUCAUUCUCGAAUGCCUGGAUAGUUUAACAUGAGAUUUUGAUGGUGAUCUUGAAAUAGAUCGAUCCAUUGAUUUGCUGCACAAGGAAUGUAUUACUUGAAUGAAAAAAUAAAGCCUAUCUUAGAUAUCAAGCAAAUAUACUUCAAAUUGAAAAAUACCUUUUGUUCCUUCUAGGACUUCAGCUUCUAUUGCGGCUUCCGCCUGGCCUUCUUGAUGGGCUGGAUUGUAUUCCUUCACUUGAAUUCAUUGAAGGUGCGUUCAAAAAAUCAUUUACACAAAGCAAAUAAUUGACAUCACAUACAUCAAAAUAGCAUGGACACAGUUUUCAAGUUUCCAUGUGGUUCUGCCUGAAAGCUAAUAAAUUGACAUCACAAACAUCAUUCACGAACGUCAUAAUAGCAUGGAUACAGUUUACAAGUUUCCACGUGGGUUCUGCCUGAAAGCAAAUAAAU
rnacentral:lncRNA from 1 species